AUGCAGGUUAAUGAGAUUAACAGGAAUACCUUCUACAUUACACCAAAGAUUGACUCCUUCACUCUCAUAUCAGAGAAAGAAAAUCACAUAGUCAUUGUAAAGAAACUGAAAGCCUGUUAUGACUAUAUCCCAGUACAGUUACUUCUCUUUCCAAUCUUCCUUGAAAUUUCUUUGUUUCAGAAUAUCCGCUUGAAAGGUAAUGAUACUAUUUCCAGGAAGAUUAAAAUGUUCCACCACUGGUUUGAAGACAUUACUACUUUUAAUAUCUGAUCUGUGUAUAAUUAUCUCCUUGCAUAGAGACUGCUAUUUGUCAAAUGUAUAGAGCAUCACUGUUAACAGUACAGUAUGAGCAGAUGAAUGAAACCAAUACCGUUGCUACCAAAAUGGACGUGAAUGGAGAGUUGGCAUACCAAUUUGUGGCAGGCCCUGCUGUGGGUGAAUAGUUAUCUGAAAUUAGGAGGCUGUAUGUAAGCAAGUAAAGACCUACCAUCAGAGCCUGUGUGUGGGUAGUAGUAUUCUUCAAAGUUUUUGCAGCUUGUUUGAGUAGUCUCAACUGUGAGCUGUAGGUGUUUGUUCAUCAUUUUCUGGUUCUGAUCUGUCUUGUAGAUUGUUCUUCGGUAUUGGCUGUGCCUUGCUGAUUUCUUUUUUCACCUCACUAGGUGGGUUUUACAAUUGGAGAAAUGAUUCUUGCAAAUCCAUGAGUUGUGAGUCUCUGUCUUCUGGCUCUUAGUGGAUGUGCUUGUACUGAAGGGCUUGGCUGUAAAUGAUAGAUUUGAUGGGGUGUUCUGAAUGGAAGGUUGAGAUAUGAAAGUAUGUGCAAUCAGUUUGAAAUAUAGCAUGGUCUCUUUUUAGAAAUAUAAAGUGGAAUAUAAUAAUAAUAAUAAUAAUAAUAAUAAUAAUAAUAAUAAUAAUAAUAAUUGUGCGGUUUUCUGGCAUUGUGUAUUUCUGCCGCUUCUGUGACUGUUCAUUUGGGGUUUGAUGAUUCCGUAGCCCACUUGUCAAUGGAUGUCCAGAAUCAGCAGCAUCCACCGCGGUCCUUUUUAUCCUGGGCGACGACCGAGCCAGUAUAGACUUCGUUUGGGUUUGAUUCUCCAUAAUGCGAAUGGGUUAGGUGCUCUUAGUUCUGCUCCUCAGCUGAGGCCUCUCUGGCUUGGUUGGACCUACCGGUAGUUACACUACCGCCAGCACAGCCCUCAGUCAUCAUUGGAGCAGUCAAGCCCCCCCACCACGUCAAGGUGGCACCUGCAAAGGUUGUGGAAAAUGAACACGCAAAGACACUGUGGGACUUCCGAAUCCAGACUGACAAAGUUCUGGAACACAACACACCAGACAUCACAGUUGUGGAAAAGAACAAGGUUUGGAUCAUUGAUGUUGCCAUCCCAGGUGACAGUCGCAUUGAAGAAAAACAACAGGAAAAACUCAGCCGCUAUCAGGACCUCAAGAUUGAACUUCAAAGACUCUGGCAGAAACCAGUGCAGGUGGUCCCGGUGGUGAUGGGCACACUGGGUGCCGUGCCAAAAGAUCUCAGCCGGCAUUUGGAAACAAUAGACAUUGACAAAAUUACGAUCUGCCAACUGCAAAAGGCCACCUUACUGGGAUCUGCACGCAUCAUCCGAAAAUACAUCACACAGUCCUAGACACUUGGGAAGUGUUCAACUUGUGAUUUUGUGAAACGAAAUCCAGCAUAUCUAUCUUGUUUGCUGUGUCAUACAACGUCGUUGUGUCAAUAAUAAUAAUAAUAAUAAUAAUAAUAAUAAUAAACAACAGGAAAAACUCAGCCACUAUUAGGACCUCAAGAUUGAACUUCAAAGACUCUGGCAGAAACCAGUACAGGUGGUGAUGGGCGCACUGGGUGCCAUGCCAAAAGUUCUCAGCCG
ensembl:lncRNA